GCCUACGGGAGGCAGCAGUGGGGAAUAUUGCACAAUGGGGGGAACCCUGAUGCAGCGACGCCGCGUGGGCGAUGGAGUAUUUCGGUAUGUAAAGCCCUAUUGGCAGGGAAGAAGCUGACAGUACCUGACUAAGAAGCCCCGGCUAACUACGUGCCAGCAGCCGCGGUAAUACGUAGGGGGCAAGCGUUAUCCGGAUUCACUGGGCGUAAAGGGAGCGCAGGCGGCACGGCAAGCCUGGUGUGAAAACCCGGGGCCCAACCCCGGGAGUGCAUUGGGAACUGUGCAGCUAGAGUUCGGGAGAGGUA
rnacentral:rRNA from 1 species